CGGCCUUCCUUUCUCAUUGGUACCCUAUGAAAACGAGACUAUGUAAGAGUCCAUAAGAUCAAAGGGUCGUAUCCGAGGAAAUGAAAUGAAUUAUCACUACUUUCUAUGUCCCUUCACGUUAGUUACCAAUUGCUCUUUACCAGAAGCCUGAGAUAGUUUUUUCUUGUCUUUGUCCCUAAGUGAAAGUUCCCAGUCCUGCAAGUCAUUUAAAAAGCCCUGGAAAUCCUGGAAACAAAACUCAGAGGAACAACCAAGAGUAGAUAGAAAAUAAAUUAACUUCUAGUUGUUUGCAAAAGAAG